rnacentral:rRNA from 1 species
CCUACGGGAGGCAGCAGUGGGGAAUAUUGCACAAUGGGCGAAAGCCUGAUGCAGCGACGCCGCGUGAGGGAUGACGGCCUUCGGGUUGUAAACCUCUUUCAGCAGGGACGAAGCGCAAGUGACGGUACCUGCAGAAGAAGCACCGGCUAACUACGUGCCAGCAGCCGCGGUAAUACGUAGGGUGCAAGCGUUGUCCGGAAUUACUGGGCGUAAAGAGUUCGUAGGCGGUUUGUCGCGUCGUUUGUGAAAACCAGCAGCUCAACUGCUGGCUUGCAGGCGAUACGGGCAGACUUGAGUACUGCAGGGGAGACUGGAAUUCCUGGUGUAGCGGUGAAAUGCGCAGAUAUCAGGAGGAACACCGGUGGCGAAGGCGGGUCUCUGGGCAGUAACUGACGCUGAGGAACGAAAGCGUGGGUAGCGAACAGGAUUAGAUACCCUGGCAGUCCACGCCGUAAACGGUGGGCGCUAGGUGUGGGUUCCUUCCACGGAAUCCGUGCCGUAGCUAACGCAUUAAGCGCCCCGCCUGGGGAGUACGGCCGCAAGGCUAAAACUCAAAGGAAUUGACGG